rnacentral:rRNA from 1 species
AGAGUUUGAUCCUGGCUCAGGACGAACGCUGGCGGCGCGCCUAACACAUGCAAGUCGAACGGAGCUUAGAGAGCUUGCUUUUUAAGCUUAGUGGCGAACGGGUGAGUAACGCGUGAGUAACCUGCCCUAGAGUGGGGGACAACAGUUGGAAACGACUGCUAAUACCGCAUAAGCCCACGGUGCCGCAUGACACUGAGGGAAAAGGAUUUAUUCGCUUUAGGAUGGACUCGCGUCCAAUUAGCUAGUUGGUGAGGUAACGGCCCACCAAGGCGACGAUUGGUAGCCGGACUGAGAGGUUGAACGGCCACAUUGGGACUGAGACACGGCCCAGACUCCUACGGGAGGCAGCAGUGGGGGAUAUUGCACAAUGGGGGAAACCCUGAUGCAGCGACGCCGCGUGGAGGAAGAAGGUCUUCGGAUUGUAAACUCCUGUUGUUGAGGAAGAUAAUGACGGUACUCAACAAGGAAGUGACGGCUAACUACGUGCCAGCAGCCGCGGUAAAACGUAGGUCACAAGCGUUGUCCGGAAUUACUGGGUGUAAAGGGAGCGCAGGCGGGAAGACAAGUUGGAAGUGAAAUCCAUGGGCUCAACCCAUGAACUGCUUUCAAAACUGUUUUUCUUGAGUAGUGCAGAGGUAGGCGGAAUUCCCGGUGUAGCGGUGGAAUGCGUAGAUAUCGGGAGGAACACCAGUGGCGAAGGCGGCCUACUGGGCACCAACUGACGCUGAGGCUCGAAAGCAUGGGUAGCAAACAGGAUUAGAUACCCUGGUAGUCCAUGCCGUAAACGAUGAUUACUAGGUGUUGGAGGAUUGACCCCUUCAGUGCCGCAGUUAACACAAUAAGUAAUCCACCUGGGGAGUACGACCGCAAGGUUGAAACUCAAAGGAAU